ensembl:lncRNA
GAAGGAACAUACUGGGCUCAUGAGCUGUCUCUUAGCUCUUUCCUUGAAAUUUCAUUUUCUGUUUAAAUAGAAUGUGCUCAUUUCCCCUGUGCUGAAGGCCCCCAGUAACAAGAUAUAACUUGUUCACAAGGAGAAGAGGGUGCUUGGUUCUAACCACUGCUUCAGAAGUACCACCUCACGUAAUAAAGCAGCUCUCAUCUUAAAGUAUCUCUGUAGUCAGUACUAUAGAGUUUUGUGGGAUCUACAUCUCAGAAGGAAGAUUUCUGCUUGCUGUACUGAUGCUGCUGACGAUGAACAGUCCUUAUGUUGGAGAUCUUACUUUGAGAGAGUGUGGUAUCGUAUCCAUUGACUGUCAAUACCAAUGGGACUAUUCUGUUUGAAGUUCAG